rnacentral:lncRNA from 1 species
CUCCAUUUUCAUCAUCUGAUAGCAGGAACAGCAUGUGAGGACGGCGGAUGAAUUGCAAACCUGUGCAGGUCGGGGGAGAGGGCAGGCAAGUGGGGGGAGAUGGGCAGAUUCAGUUCAUCCUGGCUGAGGUCUUGUGCAGCCUGCUCCCCUCUGACUCACAGCUCUUGCUCCAGUUACAGCCUCCACCCAGCCCCCCAAGCCAGCCAGGGAUGCUCCAGUGUACCCCAGAAAUCGACCCCUGGAGUGAGUUUCCAUAACAAUGCCAAGGGGGCGAGGGAGGAACUGGGGACUGUCCCUAAGAUCUGGGGAGCUGGGGCUCAUGCAGAUCCCAUCCCACAAAGUAGUGGUGUCCUUCCUCUUUGUUCCUGGUGGCUUUUUUAAGGAGGACACAGACAUGGAACUUUCUCAGCCUCUGCCAUCUCCUCUCUUUCUCUGAGGCAAGUAACUGCCUCACAACUGACAGGAACCAAGUGACACGGCUGUCUCUUUCCCAUAUUCAACCUCAGUCAUGGACCCCUCCACCUAAUCUCUGUUCACCAGGCAUGGUCCAGGUGCGGGUUUUAGUUAGAGCAGAAUAUGGUCCCUGAACUCUGAGACCCCCCACGUUGAUGGUGAAUCCAAAGGAAUGGGUAAGUCUUUAAUGCCUGUGUGAAGGGAGCUGUUGCAGGACAAAACCUGACCUGAGCACUCUCAGUGGCUCUGAGGGACCCGUGACAGGGACACGUGGCUACAGGCAGCCUUCCCCUCUGUCGGCAUCUACCUGGGCAACCUGGAGCAGGUUUCUCUGUGUGCCACAGCCCACCCGUGGGAUGACUGUGGAUGUUCAUCUGCCUGCCAGGGUGGCUGCAAGAUGCAAGGUAAACUGUGUGCACCACCCCAGGGCAACGUAGAAAGCCUGUCUGACUCUCAGAUUGCUCUUCUCCCCCUUUUCUCGAUGUGGUGACUGAGGAUGGAGGACUGUCCCAUAGGAGCCAGGAUCAGAACAGGAAGGCUGAUGUGCUGCUGGAGCUGGCUGCCCCUUCCGGUCCUGCCUGCCAGGGGCAGUGCUGCACAGAGCUGGCUUCUGUGUGGGGCUCGGAGCAGCUCCCGGCUCCCACCCAAAGCCCCUUUCUCCUUGUAGAGCUUGCUCACAGGCUCCCAUUCAGAGGCUGACUGAUUGAAGAGGCGGCUGUGGGUCGGCAGUGUGACCUUUGGGCCCGCCUUGGUGGGUGAAUGAGUUAAGCCCCCCGAGGCCCCUCCACCCCAAAGGGACCAGCCAGGCCCUGAUUCUGCACAGAUCUAGCUAGGAAGGUGCCAUAUGGCAGGGAGGACGGGGCUGAGGUCCUGGCUUUCAGCCCCCAUGGGUCACCCACCCCUUCUCUUCAAUGUGCCCAUUCAAAAAGCCAGGCAAAUAAUCACCCUUCUCUCUUCGUGUGGAUUAGAGGAGGGGAGGGGCUGAAGGUGAGUUUGCAACUGAAUCCAUGUGAAAACAGGAGAGAGCCUUGGUACCAUCCUGUUGCCUUGUUAACAGUUUUUUGGUUUGCUUUUUGUUUUUGGUACAAGGGACUGAACCCAGGGGCACUUAACCACUAAGCCACAUCCUCAGCCCUUUUUAUAUUUUGAGUCAGGGUCUUGCUAAGUUGCUGAGGCUGGCUUAGAACCUGCAAUCUUCCUGCUUCAGCCUCCUGAGCCACUGGGAUUACAGGCCUGCACCACUGCACCCAGUGGAACAAUUUUUUUUGCAAAGAUGGAAUGUUCCAUAGGAUGCACUGCCCAACUGGACAGUCACUAGCCACAGGUGGCUAUUAAGCAUUGCAAUGUAGCUAGUGUCACUAAAGAAUGAAACUUUUAAUUACUUAAUUUAAUUAGGUUUAAAUAGCCACAUGUGGCUAGUAGUGACAUUUUAUUGAACAGCGCAGGUCUAGUAGAGAGGGAAUGCUGUAUCUUUGAGGCCACACAAACCCAGGUUCAAAGUGUGACUCUGCAAUAUAUACUCGUCCCUGUGUGGCUGCUUAACCUCUUAAGACUCAGUUUCCCCACUAUUUAAUAUACAGUUGAGUAAAUAAUACUAAGUGAGCCUGGUCGGGGAUAGGCUACUGUGCAGCCAGCAUCAAAACCAGGGUCCAGGUCACCAGCUCCAAGAUGCACUUACAGCCAAUCCUCCUUCCCUGCCUCAGCCAGUGUGAGGGUGCAGGCUACAGAGACUGGAAGGAGGAUACAGAUCCAGACUUCUUCCCUGGCCUUGGCUGAGGGAGGCUGGUGUGCACGAAAUGUCUCCUCUCUCCAGUGCAAGGAAGAGUUGGCAGACCAGGUCCAGAAGUCUUGGGUUAGGCCGUCAGGCGUGGCCUUCAACUCUGUGGCCCCCAGAUGAAUCUUCCAUGAGCAAGUGUUCCAGUGGGCGAGCCUGGACCCAGGCUGGAUGGCGAUGCUACCAGAAGGAAGUGCCCUGCCCUUGUCCUCAGCUGCCAGCUUUUCUUCCUAGACUUCUGCCCCUCCUGCUUUUCUUCCUCCUAUACCUGAGCCCAAACUUACCUGCCCUAUGUCCCAUCCUGGUGAGAAUCUGCUCAUUAUUUUCCCAAAUGAUAUCUGCAUCUCCAUGGUCCCAGGUACUGAUGUCCUCCUAAGAUCUGGUUUUGGUCUUUCCAAGAAGUGUGGACAACAGGGUAAAGAAAGGGAGGUCCUGAGCCAGGUCAGCAGGUGAGAGUGGGGAGGGAGCGCAUCCCAGGCUGCUCCGAGGGCAGUCACCCCCCCGUCUUGCUCUCCAGAGCCUCUGAGGCAGCUACCUGCAAACCCUGUGCCACCAUGCCAGGUAAGUGGGGGCUCCCUGGAGCAAGGAUCUGGGACCAGGACACUCAGCCCAGCCAGCACAUGUUGGUCUGUCCUCAAGGUGCAUGGCACCAACAGUUCAUCUGGAUGACAAGGUCCCCCUUCCCCAGUGAGGGAGAGUUGGUACAGUGCCAAGCAUGGGUUUCCCCAACACACCUUCAUCUCCCAGGGCCCACAUGUCCUUGCCCAGUGUUAUGUCACAAUCCUGUAGUGAGAGGGAAAGAGCUCUGCCCCAUCCAUGGAAGGGGAGAUCAAGUUUCAAAAAGCUACCUAGUAACUCUGCAUGAGUCUCUCCCUCCUACCCACACUGAAUUAUUAUCAUCAUCAUCAUCACCACCACCAUCACUUUCACUUAGUAAAGGCCAGGUUCUGUGUGUGGAGCCUGCUUUAUUACAUCAUCCUUACUCUGGCUCUGAGAAGUAGGUAUCAUGGUCCCUAUUUUACAGAUGGAGAAACUGAGGACCAGAGAAGUCACUAACUUGUCUAAAAACCACACAGCUCCUUUGAAGCAGGAGAGAGAAACAUGAGGCCCAAGAUAUCACUCUGUGCCCUGCACAACUGCCCAGGAUGGAGGAGCUAGAGCGGGGAAAGGCUGGUGAGGUGGCCAUCACAGGCCACUCCAUAACAUGCCACUGAGCCCAGAACAUGGAGUCUGCCGCCUGGAGCAAGAGAAGAGUGGAUCUCGGUGGGAGUCGGGCCUGCAGAGCUUCAGGAAAACCCCCAUAGAACCAGCUGCAGAUCUUCUUUCCCUCCGCUCCACCCUCACGGAGACUUUUCCUCCAGGCCAGCCUGUUCUGCUGGAAAAACAAUCUCCCCUGCCUGGGGACCCGGGCCGGCUGGGCCACCUUCUGGUCUGUCUUCAUUCAGAUCCAUUUCUCUCCUCCCUGGAGCCGGGGGAGGGAGUCAUGCUGGGGGAGGCACGGGUGGGGCUGAAGACUUCAUCUGUCCCCCUUUAAGCCAAGCAAAGAAAAAUAGCCUUUUGCCAAGAUCUUUCAUCUCAGUCAUUUACUCUCGCAGAUGUUUUCUGCAAUAUAAACAAGAAGCAAGGAAUGUCGGGGAGGAAAGGAGGACGGGAGGCGGGCAGGAGGGAAGGAGAAGAAUCAACAGCUUUGAAAUCUGGGCCUGCAGAGGGCAGGAAACAGGACCUCAGCAGGGUCCCUGCUGCCCUGAGAGCAUGGGCAAACCCGAGGUCACUGCACCAGGCCAAGCAGAGGGGGCUGCUGGGGGUGUCUUUGAAAGAAGGCUCUGGAGAAGUGGGCCAGCCCUUCAGUGAGUGGUCACCCCAAACGAGCUCCCCCUGUCUGGAAACCUGCCCAUGGGGAGACACUGCCGGGGCCUCGGCUUACCUGGAGUGGCACCUGGCUGGGGCACACCCUUGCCCACCUUAGCACAUCCCAAAAGCUGUUCUGGACUUCAGAACUCUGUCGACUGCCCCAGAUCUGCCAGCAAGACCAGUGGGAGGUGCGGCACCCACAGUGGCAAUAAGGAUUUGGUCAUAGAGGGAGGAGGAAGAAUCCUGAGCUGGGGGGUGGAGGGCAGGAGAAGCAGAUCACACAGUGGGUCAAGAGCUAACCAGGAAGGCAGAUGGCUCCCAGCUCCACAUUUUGUGGGAUUCCUACUAGUGUCAACAGCUAAUAAGCCUGGGGUUGGUUGCAAACUCAAAUGUCUAUGCGGACUGACCAGGAGCCCAAAGGAGUGACGCUGAAUGGGGACAGUAUGAAGAAGAAAAGGCAUCUAGAAGGGUGGCCACCACUCAGCUUUGCGCUACGAAAGAUUCAAGAGAGCCCAGAAAUCCAC